UCACUUGAUAUUGCUUGUCCAUCUCAUACAGAAACUCCACAAAGAAAUGGAAAAUUGUACCUGUGGAUGCGAAAAAUCAACCCCAUGAUUGUGUGAAAAAUGGGAGCCUGGAGCGAUGGGCAAUUCUUUGCUCUGUGUGUGAAAAAUCAUCACUUCACGGCAAGGCAACCGAAAGUUAGAUUGUCUAUUAGAGCACCAUGAUGUUCGGCUGAAAUGGGAUGAACGUUGACCCGACAUAAAUGUGAAAAAGUUUUUGAUUCAAGGAAUCUGAAGGCAGGGACUCAGGCAGGCUAAAGUUAUCUUACCAAAUUUCGGUUAACAACUGUAACGUUAGGGAAUCAAACCCAAAACUGUAUAUAGUGGAGUGAUAUUGUUGACUUGUAGUUUAAUCAGAAAUGAUGCAUGUAAAAAUGCUGUUUAAUUUCCCCUUUUUUGUUUUCUUGGUAUUUGAGAAUUGAGAGCAUAGUUAUCAAAUCUUGUCGGGAUGGUCCAAGAUUUGGAUAGUAGAUUUGCCUGGUCAACUAAACUAUCAAUGAGUGAGUCAACAGAGUGUUUGGUGGUGUUUGGUGUUUGUAAGUGUGGUAAUUAUUAUCUUUUAAAGUGUUUUGUAUUUAAAAAUAUAUUAAAAUAAUAAUUUUUUAUAUUUUAAAAAUUAUUUUUAUUAUUAUUAUUAUAUCAAAACAAUCUAAAAUCAUACUAGCAAUAAGCAUGCUUUAGUAAUGCCCCUAUUGAUUUUUAGUUCUUUAAUCUCGGCUAUUUGAUUGAUCUCUCUUUUUAAGAGUAACUUCAUAUACCGCAAUAAAGAAAUAAUUGACAUGAAUAAACUCGCUAAUUUGUUGAUUGAAAUUCUAAAAUCUAACCUUGGUUACAUGUAUUUGAUUGUGUUUACAGAACUUAUUUAUUUAAAUAAAUAAAAGAUAAAUUUAUACUCUAAAAAACUCAUGACUUAAAAAAUAAACACAAAUGAAAUCAACUGAAUAAACUUAUGCCAUAAAAAAAUAUUACGCAAGGCCGAACACAUCUGCAAUAUAAUUUUAAAAUGAAUAUUUUUUAUUAUAAAAAAUAAACUUCAUUUUAAAAAAAAUAUAUUAUAGAUGAAUUAGAAUAAUACCUUGAAAAAUAAAAUAGAAACAAAACAACUAAAAAAACUUAUAUUAAAAAAAUAUGCAAAAAUCGUAAUCUAAAUCAUGAUAUUAGGAUAAACCCAUAGAAAAAACUUAAAAAUAAUCACAAAAUCAAUAAUAACAAAACUAUGGCGGAACAAUAAGAACGUACAAAGCCAAAUUCCCAACAAAUUAAAUGUUCAAAGAUAAAAUCAGGAAAAAAUUAAUUACACAAAAGGAUCGAAAAAAAUAAAGGUGAGAAAAAAUAUUAAUUAGAGGGAUAAAAAUUUUCAGUUAGAGGGUUUAAUUGAAUUGAAAAAUAGCUUUAAUAAAACAAAAAAAAUCAAAAGAAUGAGGGUCAAACUAAAAAAAAUAAAACAAUAAAAAAAUUGAUUAAAUGAUGAAAUUGAAAAAAAAAACUUCAACAAAAGUGCCAAGGAAAAAAUUAGAAAUUAUAAAAUAUGAGGACCAAAAUGAAAAAUCAAACAUAUAAGAAAUUAAAAUUGAGGGACUAAAUUGAAAAGAAUUAAAAAAAAUCUAUAAAUGGAAAAGGAAUGAAAUAAGAAAUUAAUAGAAUUAUGACUAAAAUUGAAAAGUAAAAAACAAAGAGGACAAUGAUGUAUGUUACCUGUCAGGAAAGAGAGAAGACGUAAAAAAAGCAUACGAAAACUUGUGACAAUUCAAUUACUAUUAGCUGCCACACGUCACAAAAAAAACUUAAUUUUUUGAACCAAAGGGUGCCAAGUUAAUUUUAUUAUAGCCCAAGAUAUAUUUUAGUAUGGAUUGGAUUACAGUAAAACAUCUACGCCAUUUAGUUUUUUAGGUAAUGUAUUAUAAUCUAAAAUUUGAAUCUUAUUGACUAUACUUUUUCCAUUAUAAUAAUAAUAAAAAAUAAAAAAAAGAAGAUCACUAUUUUGUACAGCAAGAUUUUUUAAAUCUAAUGAUUAAUGGUUGUCUAUUUGAUAAAGUGUGAGAUUUGAAUGAUAUUGGCUCCAAUUCUCCCAAUCAUAAAACCAUAGAAAAGGGAGAUCUCUAUUUCAUAGGACUUUCUAUCAACAUAAUAUUACAUUUUAUUUUUUAUAAUAAUUUUUUUAAUUACAGUCCUCCAUUUUCCAAUGCCUUUAAAACUUAUUUUUUAAAUGAAAAAACAAUAUUGUUUUGGAAAAAAUAUCCUUUUAAAAAGAAAUUAGUUAAUUAGUAAACUUCUGAAAUCUCAUCAAAAUCAAGUUCUAAUUUAAAAAGAUUUCGGGUUAACUUAUCGGGCGAUACAGUCCGGUUUUGUAAUAGUGAGAAAAACCAUGAAAAAAAAAAAGUUCCCUUAAAAAAAUAUGAAUAAAUGAUAUGAUGAGUCCACUACAUGCGCAGUAUGUCUGUGCCAGCUUAGCUUGGGCUGAAAACACACAGUCAUACCCCUCCACCACUCUUUCCCUCUCUCUCUCUCUCUCUAUAUCUCUCAAGCCACAUCCAUCUCCAGCAAGCAGAGAAUUAUCAAAACGGCAAGCAUGUCAUCGGACGAAGAAGGGGGAGAGGAGUACCUGUUCAAGAUCGUGAUCAUAGGGGAUUCAGCAGUAGGAAAAUCAAAUCUGCUUUCUCGAUAUGCAAGAAAUGAGUUCAAUUUACAUUCAAAGGCCACGAUAGGAGUGGAGUUUCAGACCCAGAGCAUGGAAAUUGAUGGCAAAGAAGU
rnacentral:lncRNA from 1 species